CCUGACUUACCCAUGCAAGUCGACGCUGAAGCUCCAGCUUGCUGGGGUGGAUGAGUGGCGAACGGGUGAGUAACACGUGAGUAACCUUCCCUUGACUCUGGGAUAAGCCCGGGAAACUGGGUCUAAUACCGGAUACGACCUCCUGCCGCAUGGUGUGGGGGUGGAAAGAUUUAUCGGUCUUGGAUGGACUCGCGGCCUAUCAGCUUGUUGGUGAGGUAAUGGCUCACCAAGGCGACGACGGGUAGCCGGCCUGAGAGGGUGACCGGCCACACUGGGACUGAGACACGGCCCAGACUCCUACGGGAGGCAGCAGUGGGGAAUAUUGCACAAUGGGCGCAAGCCUGAUGCAGCGACGCCGCGUGAGGGAUGACGGCCUUCGGGUUGUAAACCUCUUUCAGUAGGGAAGAAGCGAAAGUGACGGUACCUGCAGAAGAAGCGCCGGCUAACUACGUGCCAGCAGCCGCGGUAAUACGUAGGGCGCGAGCGUUAUCCGGAAUUAUUGGGCGUAAAGAGCUCGUAGGCGGUUUGUCGCGUCUGCCGUGAAAGUCCGGGGCUUAACCCCGGAUCUGCGGUGGGUACGGGCAGACUAGAGUGCAGUAGGGGAGACUGGAAUUCCUGGUGUAGCGGUGAAAUGCGCAGAUAUCAGGAGGAACACCGAUGGCGAAGGCAGGUCUCUGGGCUGUUACUGACGCUGAGGAGCGAAAGCAUGGGGAGCGAACAGGAUUAGAUACCCUGGUAGUCCAUGCCGUAAACGUUGGGCACUAGGUGUGGGGGACAUUCCACGUUUUCCGCGCCGCAGCUAACGCAUUAAGUGCCCCGCCUGGGGGAGUACGGCCGCAAGGCUAAAACUCAAAGGAAUUGACGGGGGCCCGCACAAGCGGCGGAGCAUGCGGAUUAAUUCGAUGCAACGCGAAGAACCUUACCAAGGCUUGACAUGUUCCCGACCGGGCCAGAGAUGGUCUUUCCUCUUUGGGGCGGGUUCACAGGUGGUGCAUGGAUG
rnacentral:rRNA from 1 species